GAGCCGUUAGCUCAGCUUGGUAGAGCACUUGGUUUGGGACCAAGGGGUCGCAGGUUCGAAUCCUGUCUUCCCG
rnacentral:tRNA from 1 species